rnacentral:rRNA from 1 species
UACGUAGGGGGCCAGCGUUGUUCGGAAUUACUGGGUGUAAAGGGUUCGUAGGCGGUGCGGCAAGUUGGGAGUGAAAUCUCUGGGCUCAACCCAGAGACGGCUUCCAAAACUGCUGUGCUUGAGUGUGAGAGAGGCUCGUGGAAUUGCAGGUGUAGCGGUGAAAUGCGUAGAUAUCUGCAGGAACACCCGUGGCGAAAGCGGCGCGCUGGACCACUACUGACGCUGAGGAACGAAAGCUAGGGGAGCAAACAGG